CCUACGGGAGGCAGCAGUGAGGAAUAUUGGUCAAUGGACGAGAGUCUGAACCAGCCAAGUAGCGUGAAGGAUGACUGCCCUAUGGGUUGUAAACUUCUUUUAUAUGGGAAUAAAAUGUUCCACGUGUGGGAUUUUGUAUGUACCAUAUGAAUAAGGAUCGGCUAACUCCGUGCCAGCAGCCGCGGUAAUACGGAGGAUCCGAGCGUUAUCCGGAUUUAUUGGGUGUAAAGGGAGCGUAGGUGGGUUGUUAAGUCAGUUGUGAAAGUUUGCGGCUCAACCGUAAAAUUGCAGUUGAUACUGGCAGUCUUGAGUGGAAGAGAGGUAUGCGGAAUGCGUGGUGUAGCGGUGAAAUGCAUAGAUAUCACGCAGAACCCCGAUUGCGAAGGCAGCCUGCCGGAUUCCGACUGACGCUGAAGUACGAAAGCGUGGGGAGCGAACAGGAUUAGAUACCCUUGUAGUC
rnacentral:rRNA from 1 species